GUCCCCGUGGCACAACUGGAUAGCGCAAUGCCCUCCUAAGGCGUAGGUUAGAGGUUCAAAUCCUCUCGGGGACGCCA
rnacentral:tRNA from 1 species